GUCUCCAGAGCUAUAACCAAAGUAGCUAAUGCUUGCUUCACUGGGUGCAUUUUCUUGUAAAAGGCUGCCCUUCUCACUUCCGUAUUUCAGCAGCUACUGUGGAUGGUUUCCUGCAGAGGCCUCAGCGUGAGUCUCCUGGUUCUGAAUUUGAUCUGGGGGAGAACAAGAGAAAAGGAAGAAGUGUGGACUCCACUAAUGUCUGCCUCUCAACUUGAAAACAGAAACAUUCAUCUGAAAGCCACGUCAGCCUUCUCUAGCCGAGCAGGCAGCAGGUGAAACAAUUUGAGCCUCGAUUCCCACAGCCCCCAAACAGCAACUCCCAUUUAAUUUCUCUGCCGCUUUUUACAUUUUUAAAAUAAAAAAAAAACAAACAAAA